GCUGAGUGCAGUGCCUCAUACCUGUAAUCCCAGCAACUUAGGAGGCUGAGGCAGGAGGAUCACAAGUUCAAAGCCAGCAUCAGCAAUUUAGCAAGGCCCUAAGCAACUUAGUGAGACCCUGUCUCAA
rnacentral:sRNA from 1 species